AGCAGCCGCGGUAAUUCCAGCUCCAAUAGCGUAUAUUAAAGUUGUUGCAGUUAAAAAGCUCGUAGUUGAAUUUCGGGGUUCUACCGUUGGUCGGGCAAUAGUCUGUACUGGCGUGUAGAAUUUCUACCUUCUGGGGAACCAUCAUGUUAUUUAUUUAGCGUGGUGGGAAACCAGGACCUUUACCUUGAAAAAAUUAGAGUGUUCAAAGCAGGCUUACGUCUGAAUACAUUAGCAUGGAAUAAUAAAAUAGGACGGUGGUCCUGUUUUGUUGGUUUCUGAAUCACCGUAAUGAUUAAUAGGGAUAGUUGGGGGCAUUAGUAUUCAAUUGUCAGAGGUGAAAUUCUUGGAUUUAUUGAAGACUAACUUCUGCGAAAGCAUUUGCCAAGGAUGUUUUCAUUAAUCAAGAACGAAAGUUAGGGGAUCGAAGACGAUCAGAUACCGUCGUAGUCUUAACCAUAAACUAUGCCGACUAGGGAUCGGACGAUGUUAAUUUUUCUUGACUCGUUCGGCGCCUUACG
rnacentral:rRNA from 1 species